GAUUGAUUUUAAUGGGGCUUCUCAUUUAGAAAUGGGUCACCUGUGAAUAGCAGGGGCAUAUUCUUCCUGGCUGCAACUUCAACAAUUUUAGUGGAAGCAGAAGCAGUAGGACAGGCAGCUAAAUUGAGGCUCUGACAUAACUUCCCCAGGUAAAACUUUCAGAAACAGCUAUAUGACCUAGGUGAUUUUGGCAUCUAGUCCAGGAGACUCAGGUAUACAAGUCACAGAACCAGCCUUCUUCUUUUUACAAUAUCUGAAAGACAUUAACCUGUGACAUAUUGGGUGUUAUUCAUUGGUUUGAAUAAGCCAAAGCCAGGAUAAGUGGAUCUGGACCAUCCAAUGAAGGAUGCAACAUCAGAAAAAAAGCAUUAGGAGGGUAUGACACUGCAAGGCUGAUUGCCAGAGCUGUUGAAAUCAAUGAGAUAACUGCAAACACAUCUGGAAGCCCAAACAUGAGCAGCUGU
rnacentral:lncRNA from 1 species